AUUUUGAUAGCUAAAGUUUAGAGCGUGGCAUUGAAGGUGCUAAAGUAACAAAAUAUGUUUCAAAAUA
rnacentral:tRNA from 1 species